rnacentral:rRNA from 1 species
UCCCUUAAACCCUGCCGCAGUUGGGAUCGAGGGCUGAAACUCGCCCUCGUGAACGAGGAAUCCCUAGUAACCGCACGUCAACAACGUGCGGUGAAUACGUCCCUGCUCCUUGCACUCACCACCCGUCGCUCCACCCGAGUAGGAAAAGGGUGAGGCUCCUUGCCAUCGGGUGGGGAGUCGAACCCUUUUCCUGCGAGGGGGGAGAAGUCGUAACAAGGUAGCCGUAGGGGAACCUGCGGCUGGAUCACCUCCUUUC